rnacentral:misc_RNA from 1 species
CGAUCUCGUACUAAACGAAACUACUUUCACUUUCCAUAAUCAAAAUGAAAGAAAGUCAACCGGAAAGUGUUCAAACCAAGAUGGGCGUAGAUGAUAGUUUCAAGGACAGGACAAUGGACUAUAUGAGUUUGAAACCGAGGAGCUGCUGACCGAGAGGAGAGUUUUUACUUCGAGGGGGGCAGGGGCGCGUCUGGUGGUCUCGUAUAGUUGAUCAAGGCUGCAUUUAGGUAUGAAAAAGUGAUUUUAACUAUCAAUUGAGUAGUUUUUCGGGAUCCAAGC